ACGAACGCUGGCGGCGUGCUUAACACAUGCCAGUCGAACGGUGAAGCUCCAGCUUGCUGGAGUGGAUCAGUGGCGAACGGGUGAGUAACACGUGAGCAACCUGCCCCUGACUCUGGAAUAAGCGCUGGAAACGGCGUCUAAUACUGGAUACGAGAAGGGUCCGCGUGGGCACUUUCUGGAAAGUUUUUCGGUUGGGGAUGGGCUCGCGGCCUAUCAGCUUGUUGGUGAGGUAAUGGCUCACCAAGGCGACGACGGGUAGCCGGCCUGAGAGGGCGACCGGCCACACUGGGACUGAGACACGGCCCAGACUCCUACGGGAGGCAGCAGUGGGGAAUAUUGCACAAUGGGCGAAAGCCUGAUGCAGCGACGCCGCGUGAGGGAUGACGGCCUUCGGGUUGUAAACCUCUUUCAGCAGGGAAGAAGCGAAAGUGACGGUACCUGCAGAAGAAGCACCGGCUAACUACGUG
rnacentral:rRNA from 1 species